rfam:Triticum aestivum genome assembly, contig: Triticum_aestivum_CS42_TGACv1_scaffold_622207_7DS
GUGGUACUCCCUCCGUUCGAAAUUACUUGUCUCGGAAAUAGAUGUAUCUAGAACUAAAAUACGUCUAGAUACAUCCAUUUCUUCGACAACUAAUUCCAAACGGAGGGAGUAUAUG